GGCUCUUGCACUUUACAAUAUGGCAACACCUCGAUGGCUGGUGUCUACAGGUUUGAGCUAGUUGUGGAAGACUUCCCCAACCAACACAUCACCCUGUCUUACGCAGAUGACUCUAGGUCCUCCAGGGCUCCACUCUAUGCAGGAAGACAUCAACGCGCUGCCAUCUACCAAGCAAUAACCACAGGGACAACCACCAUCACCUGACCCACCACCACCUAGCCCACCACCACCACCAAAAAUAUCUAAAUGAGGCAACAAAAAAAAAGGAAUAAUCGCACCCCCUGUCUUUCCGUGGUCCCUGAGUAACGUGCGCAGUCAAAGCCAAAGUGGUUUGCCAAGAGACCACUAUGACAGUGGAAGUGGAAAAGUCCUCUAUCCCUGGAGUACAUGAGGGCCAUCUCCGCCUCAGUGAUCCCAGUAACUCUGCCUGCGACCUGCAACGCCUCUCCAACAGCAUCCACAUCAUCGGAGUCAUCCCCCUCAAUGCCUGUGGGACUCAGAUAGAGGAGGAUGAUGACAACCUCCUCUUCAAGAACAAAAUCACCACCUUCGACAACCCCAAUGACAUCAUCACCAGGCACCACCAGGUGGAGAUCCAGUUCUACUGCCAGUACGCCAAACGUGGCAAUGUGAGCCUGGGCUUCAGCGCACACAGGGACAGCGUUUGAGUUCUACUAGACGAGUGACUACCCAUUAGACGUGGUGGUGAAGCAGAUGAUCUACAUGGACAUCGAGGCCACAACCACCGUGAACAACACAGAGAUCUUCGUGGAGUCUUGCAGAGUGGCGCCAUACGACAACGUCAACUACCACCCCACCUACGCCAUCAUAGAAAACGGGUGCAAUGUGGACCUGACUGUUCAAAUCUUCUCACCCCGUCACAAGAGACAUUUCCGGUUCAGAAUGGAAGCUAUCAAAUUCAUCGGACUGCACGACCUGGUGUACAUCAGCUGUUCAGUGAUUUUGUGUGAGGCUGGGAACCCCAACACCCGGUGCGCCCAGGGCUGCAUCAACUCCACCUCACCCCAGUCUGCUGAUCACCACCACCGUAAGAGAGAUGCCUCCAUGCAAAUGGCCAAGCAUCACAUUUCCCAGGGUCCUUUGCGCCUGAUAAAGACUUCUGAGAGCGCAGUGACCAACAUGAACAUGGUGUUCAUGGCUGGAUGUUUUCUAGCAGCCAUUGCCAUGGUGUGUGGCUUUGUCCUCUACAAGGCCAAAGCAUCAGGGGUCAAAUAUCAGCCCCUGCCAACAUUUGAAACUUAGUCAGAUGGGAGCUAUCCUUUCACAUGUAGCCUGCGCUAUGUAAAUAUCUAUUUGAGCAUGGUAAAGUUUUUAAUUACACUUUGGAAGGUGUAUCAAUACACCCAGUCACUACAAAGUUACGUGUCCUUCCUAACUCUGUUACCGGAGAGAAAGGAAAUCGCUCAGGGAUUUCAGCAUGAUGCCAAUGUUGACUUUAAAACAGUUGCAGAUUUGAUUAGCUGUGAUAGGAGAAAAAAUAAGAUGUAUCAACAACAUUGUACUUAGUCCACAAAAAAUAAAAAGAUUUCCUGAAGAAGAUCUCUGGUUAACUUUUUUAGGAUAGGGGACAGCAUUCUGAAUUUUGGAUGAAAAGCGUGCCCAAAGUAAACUGCCUGCUACUCAGGCCCAGAAGCUAUGAUAUGCAUAUUGGUAGAUUUCGAUAGAAAACACUUUAAAGUUUCCAAAACUGUUAAAAUAAUGUCUGUGAGUUUAACAGAACUGAAAUGGCAUUCGAAAACCUGAGGAAAAUCCA
rnacentral:lncRNA from 13 species